rnacentral:rRNA from 1 species
UGGGGAAUAUUGGACAAUGGGCGAAAGCCUGAUCCAGCCAUGCCGCGUGAGUGAUGAAGGCCUUAGGGUUGUAAAGCUCUUUCGCCCGCGAAGAUAAUGACGGUAGCGGGAGAAGAAGCCCCGGCUAACUCCGUGCCAGCAGCCGCGGUAAUACGGAGGGGGCUAGCGUUGUUCGGAAUUACUGGGCGUAAAGCGUACGUAGGCGGAUGCGCAAGUUGGGGGUGAAAUCCCGGGGCUUAACCUCGGAAUUGCCCUCAAAACUGCACGUCUUGAGACCGAGAGAGGUAAGGGGAAUUCCUAGUGUAGAGGUGAAAUUCGUAGAUAUUAGGAAGAACACCAGUGGCGAAGGCGCCUUACUGGCUCGGUACUGACGCUGAGGUACGAAAGCGUGGGGAGCAAACA